UGUAGGAGUGAGCCUGCUCGCGAUAGCGGUGUGUCAGUCGACAUCUUCAUCAGCUGACAGACCGCUAUCGCGAGCAGGCUCACUCCUACA
rnacentral:misc_RNA from 1 species